rnacentral:rRNA from 1 species
AGUCGAACGAGCGAGAGAGAGCUUGCUUUCUCGAGCGAGUGGCGAACGGGUGAGUAACGCGUGAGGAACCUGCCUCAAAGAGGGGGACAACAGUUGGAAACGACUGCUAAUACCGCAUAAGCCCACGGGUCGGCAUCGACCAGAGGGAAAAGGAGUGAUCCGCUUUGAGAUGGCCUCGCGUCCGAUUAGCUAGUUGGUGAGGUAACGGCCCACCAAGGCGACGAUCGGUAGCCGGACUGAGAGGUUGAACGGCCACAUUGGGACUGAGACACGGCCCAGACUC